UUUCGUUGUAAUGGAAUUUUAUUAACAUGAAUAUACAUCCCUAGUCUAGAAGAUGAGAUAUAGUUGAUGCUUAGCCAGGGAGGUCACCCAGGAGAGUGAGGGUUAAAGAAGAACAUGCUUUAUGGAGGACGGCGAGGUGACCUGUGUUGAAUGCUACUAAGAGGUCAAGUGAGUUGAGACCAAAAGAGUAGUCAUUGGAUUUGGCAACACACAACCAAUGCUGCUCUUAAGAAGAGCAGGGAUCCAUGUGAUUGCCUAGGCUCUGGGGGGGGGGGGGGUAGGGGAGCUGGGUCCUUACAUCACUCCUCACAGCAGAAUAAUUCCAGAUGGAUCAUUAUUUUCAAUAAGUCAUUAAAACUCUAAAGGAAAACAUGAAACAAUUUUUUAUAAUCCUGAAAACUAGUAAAUUGGUAAAAGUAUCUGCCACACAUAUGCUAGACCAACAGGUUAAUUUUCUUAAUAAAUAAAGAGCUUUUACAAAUCAAUAUGAAAAAUAAAAUCUAAUAGAAAAUGAAGAACACAGAAAAAAAUAAAAUCAUUUAUAAAUGAAGGAAAAGAUUCUUAAUCUCACUUAUAACUAAUAAAAUACAAAUUAAGCCAUCACGGUAUUUUUUAAAAUAAGAAAUAAAAAACGUAAAAUCACAGAUUCCAUUUUUCACCUAUCAGAAUGGCAAAGAUAAGUGCUGGCAAGGAGGUGGGAAUCAGGCACUUCCAUAUCUUGUUAGCAAAGGUGUAAAUCGCAAUCUGUCUGGAAGGCAACUGACAAUAAUAAAAAUUAAAAUGGACAUUUCCUUUGAUCCAACAAUAAAUUCUUCCCAAUAGUUCUAUAUGUAUAUGAUUGCAAAGAUAUAGGUACAAGGAUGUUCAUUGCAUCAUUGUUUCCAGGAACAAAAGUGACAAACCAAAUGUCCAAAAGGAGAUUGAUUAUAUAAAUUAUGUAAUGGAUCGAAAACUACUAACAUGACUAUUUGUAGUCUUCCCCUUCCAUCUGCUAGGUAAAGAGAAUUUUGUCUUAGGUCAAUGUACUCAUUUCUCUCCCUAAGGGAAGUGUUCAAUAGCUUUUGGACUUCCGUGAUGCAGUAGCAUGAGGAAAGCAGAGGGCACAGAAAGCUGCAAAACUUUGUGGAAUCCAGACAAGCUCAGGAAUGUGAGGAAGCAUAUGGAAAAGGAAAGGUGAAUUUUUUUUCUAUUACUGGAACCAUACAAACCGUUCACAUGUACCAGAAAUGCAAUUUGAGAACUUGAGUUAUUUUGAAAUACUCGUUGGUUGGUGAGUUCAUACGCACUGCUCUGAGACUGACCUACAUCAUUGUGGCUUCGGAAGUGUCACAUACACAUGGGAUUCUACAGGGCUAGUAACAGUAGUGAGGUGAACAAGCAUAUUGUUAAAUGUAAAAAGCAAGCUACAAACUAUACCAUCUGUUCCCACUUGUUUAAAAAGUCCACAUAUUAUAUUCAUAUAUAUGUCUUCAAAUGCAUAGAAGUUUUCUGGAGGAUAUUUCUGCACAUUUAUAAAGAUGCAUAUGUCUAAUAAUUUCAUUUUCCCUCUUGUCCUUUAUUAUGACACAGUCAAUAUUGAAUUGGUGUUUAUAAUGAUAGUGAUAUUGAGUAUUAUUUAAACAAACAAAAAGUUUCUCUUAGGAUCUCAACUAUAUUAAAACAAUUUUCAUAGAAGGAGAAAAUGCACCACAAUGUGACACAGAUUAUCCACGGUGGUGGAAUUAUAAAUUAUUUUUUUAUUCUUGUCUCUAAACCUUUCUGUAUUUUCAAAGUCUCUGCCAUAACCAUGGAUUACUUUGUCAUCAGCAAAAAACGUUUCUCUUAAAACUAUGACAAUUUAUUUUAAAAAUAUUUCCUGGGCUUUGGGGCCUAUUGAGGCUGUAUGACAAACAGAGAGAAAAAAACAAUAUAGCAAAAAGAUCUUUUUGUUACUAUUUUGUUUUGUUUUUGGUGAGGGAGAUUCUUCCUGAGCUAACAUCUGUUGUCAAUCUUCUUUUUUUGCUUGAGGAACACUAGCCCUGGGGCUGCCCCGGUGGUGCAGCGGUUAAGAUCACACGUUGUGUUCAGUGGCCUGGGGUUCACUGGCCCAGAUCCCAGGUGUGGACCUACACACCCCUUGUCAAGCUAUGCUGUGGCAGGCGUCCCACAUAUAAAGUAGAAGAUGGGCAAGGAUGUUAGCUUAGGGCCAGUCUUCCUCAGCAAAAAGAGGAGGAUUGGCGCCAGAUGUUAGCUCAGGGCUAAUCUUCCUUAACAAACAAACAAACAAAAAAACACUAGCCCUAAGCUAACAUCAUUGCCAAUCUUUCUCUAUUUUGUAUGUGGGAUGCCUCCAAAGCAUGGCUGAUGAGUGGAGUAGGUCCGCUGACCUGGCCCACAAACCCAGGUGGCCUAAGCGAAGCACGUGGAACUUUAACCACUUGGCCAUAAGGAGGCCCCCUUUUUUGUUACUAUUUUAGUGAACGGUGGACAAAAUUUGUGGGGCAUUGAAAUUUCUGCCCAUCCCAGAAUGUCUCAUAUGGUGCUUGAAAUUUCCUCUACUCAAGUCAGUUAUUUAGUAAAGGGUUCUGUUUUUUUCUCCAUAAGGACUUUACUAAAAUUGGAAGAGCCACUGACCUACCAGGAGCCAGGCAAUACAUUACAGCAGUGUUCUUGAAUUUGAGCGUGCACUGGAACCGCCUGGAGCGCUUGUUAAAACACAACCGGCUGGGCCCAUGCCCAGAGUUUCUGAUUCAGUGGAUCUAGGCUGGAGCCUGAGAAUUUGCGUUUCUAACAAGUUCCCAGGCGAUGUUGAUGCUGCUGGUUCAGGGACGACACUGUUGAAUGCAGGACCCCUGCAUUAAAGCAUACUACUUUAUCUCAGCGGAACCACCAGGAGCAGGAGAGCACACAUGUGAAUGAGGGCCAGGAGGUCAUCAAGGAAAAUCUAGGGCUGAAGAUCUAGAGGAAAUCCCAAUAGUUUCAGUGCCGAGCCGGCCAGUUGGCCAUCACAGGGCUGAGAAGGUGCAGAGGCAAGACAGUAACUGAACCAGCUGCUCUGGUAGAGUAGGGGAUGAGAAUGUCACCUGCAUCAUGGUCCUACUGGGACUGGGUUUGAUCAUUGUUACAGAUGGAUAUUUAGUCUUUUCAUUGUAAAUUAGCUUCCACUGUUGGGAGAAGAGAUCCUCAUCUUCAUUUCCUUAACUUCAAAAUGGAAAUGACUCUUGCUUUUGAGAGGGCUCAACAAUUUAAGUCAGAGGGCAAAUGUUACCGGAAAUGCAAAUAAUAAAAAUAAGUGCAACACCAAAAAAAAUUAUAAAAGUGCAAGGCUCAAAAACGAAGAUGCUUCUCCUUUAUCUUUGUGUUACUUGACUUAGAACAAAAAAAACGGACUCCGACCCACCUCUGGGUCAAACUUCCCAGGGCGGUCUUCUCCCAGCCACGGCUUCCCUGCGACGCUUGGCUCGGCCAGCAGAUGGUGCGGGUCCAGCGCUUUUCCGAACCCAGGCUGAGCGGGCAGCACACGGAGACUGCGCGGCUCAGCGGCGUCGCCCCCGCCGCGCUCUCGGAUCACAACACCGUCAGGCCACUGCGCCGCUCCGCCCCGAGCUUUGCUGCAAGCGCCCAGGGGGCGGAUUCCUUUGGGGUGACUGGAUUUGGGAGGAAAACUUGCACGGAGUGCUCAUUGGGGCCGAAAUACCUAUUCCGCUCAGGAGUGGGGUGUUAACUGGGAAAACAGUCUCCAAGCACUCCCGUUUGCUAAAGCCUUCUCGCACAAGGUCUCCAACCUAGGAAAGACAAAAAGGGGAAAAUGAGUUACAGCAUCAAAACCAUGCACUCUUGGCACAACUCUAGAAAUAUCCUCCAGGCCGGAUGCCAGAAGUUCAGCUGCCCUAGUCCGGGAGUCCUGGCCGAACGCCGCGCCCCGAGAGGCCGCAAGGCCGAGAAGGCCAAACGCGUGACC
rnacentral:lncRNA from 1 species